GACGAACGCUGGCGGCGCGCUUAACACAUGCAAGUCGAGCGAGAACCUGGGCUUCGGCCCUGGGGACAGCGGCGAACGGGUGAGUAACACGUGGGUAAUCUGCUCUCGGCAUCGGGAUAGCCCGGGGAAACCCGGAUUAAUACCGAAUAGCCUCCGGAGCCUUCGGGCACCGGAGAAAAGGUAGCUCCGGACUCUGGCCGAGGAUGAGCCCGCGGCGGAUUAGCUUGUUGGUGGGGUAACGGCCUACCAAGGCGACGAUCCGUAGCUGGUCUGAGAGGACGAUCAGCCACACUGGGACUGAGACACGGCCCAGACUCCUACGGGAAGCAGCAGUGGGGAAUCUUGCGCUAAUGCGUGAAACCGUGACGCAGCGACGCCGCGUGGGGGAAGAAGGCCUUCGGGUUGUAAACCUCUUUCAGGAGGGACGAAGCUACUCGGGUUAAUAGCCCAGAGGGUGACGGUACCUCCAGAAGAAGCCCCGGCUAACUACGUGCCAGCAGCCGCAGUAAUAC
rnacentral:rRNA from 1 species